rnacentral:rRNA from 1 species
UGGGGAAUAUUGCACAAUGGGCGCAAGCCUGAUGCAGCGACGCCGCGUGAGGGAUGACGGCCUUCGGGUUGUAAACCUCUUUCAGCGGGGAAGAAGCGAAAGUGACGGUACCUGCAGAAGAAGCGCCGGCUAACUACGUGCCAGCAGCCGCGGUAAUACGUAGGGCGCAAGCGUUGUCCGGAAUUAUUGGGCGUAAAGAGCUCGUAGGCGGUUUGUCGCGUCUGCUGUGAAAACCUGAGGCUCAACCACGGGCUUGCAGUGGGUACGGGCAGACUAGAGUGCGGUAGGGGUGACUGGAAUUCCUGGUGUAGCGGUGGAAUGCGCAGAUAUCAGGAGGAACACCGAUGGCGAAGGCAGGUCACUGGGCCGCAACUGACGCUGAGGAGCGAAAGCAUGGGGAGCGAACAGGAUUAGGAUACCCUGGUAGUCCAUGCCGUAAACGUUGGGCACUAGGUGUGGGGGCUCAUUCCACGAGUUCCGUGCCCG